GUGGCGGACAAGCUGUGAUACAGCAAAGGAUUGAUUGCAGAGAAGAUAUGUGUCAGGCCGAUGAGGAUCUGGAUGGCCUGCCGGGGAGGACAGGUCACUGUCCACAGCUGGGAGAGCUCAUGUCAGCAUGUGACUUACCAGGCAAAGACUUCUUGGAUACUUUUCUGCUGCCACGGAGAGGGAUCCAGAAACGAUGAACUGGCACCGAAGAGAGGGGUUUAGAAAGAGCAGAGAGGGUUGCCCAGAUUUCAUCAUGUGAAUGUUCUGUGGAGUAGUUAGAACAUAGAUAUUGGGCAGAUCCCAUUCAAGUGCACUGGGUUUACAGUCCACCUCAUGGCUUCCUGGGCCCACUUUCUUCCAGAGGCCACAUGGAUCAACACGGAUGCUGACAAUAACACCAGCAUUUAAGUUUACCACUUUUUUUUUGUUGGUUUUCUUCCUCUUUCUUGAAAUGUCUAAGUCAGAAAAUACAAGGCCCCAUACCGAGGCCCUGGUGAUGUUGCUCAGCUGAGCUUUCUAAUGGACCAGAGUUCAGCAAGGCUGGGUCAGCUCCAGUCCUGCAGGCUGGGUCUGGAGCUUCUGUAUUUCCAAGCCUCCCCCGACUCCUCCAACUCCAGCUGUGUGACCACUGGCCUGCAGAGUGAAAUCUC